GGAAGAGUGGCAGAGCGGUUGAAUGCACCGGUCUUGAAAACCGGCGAUGGGUAACCAUCCGUGGGUUCGAAUCCCACCUCUUCCG
rnacentral:tRNA from 1 species